GGAUAACGUUUGGAAACGAACGCUAAUACCGCAUGAUAUUAUUGAGCUGCAUGGCUUGAUAAUCAAAGGAGCAAUCCGCUGAAAGAUGGGCUCGCGUCCGAUUAGGUAGUUGGCGGGGCAACGGCCCACCAAGCCGACGAUCGGUAGCCGGACUGAGAGGUUGAACGGCCACAUUGGGACUGAGACACGGCCCAGACUCCUACGGGAGGCAGCAGUGAGGGAUAUUGGUCAAUGGGGGAAACCCUGAACCAGCAACGCCGCGUGAGGGAAGACGGUUUUCGGAUUGUAAACCUCUGUCCUCUGUGAAGAUAAUGACGGUAGCAGAGGAGGUAGCUCCGGCUAACUACGUGCCAGCAGCCGCGGUAAUACGUAGGGAGCAAGCGUUGUCCGGAUUUACUGGGUGUAAAGGGUGCGUAGGCGGCUUUGCAAGUCAGAAGUGAAAUCCAUGGGCUUAACCCAUGAACUGCUUUUGAAACUGCAGAGCUUGAGUGGAGUAGAGGUAGGCGGAAUUCCCGGUGUAGCGGUGAAAUGCGUAGAGAUCGGGAGGAACACCAGUGGCGAAGGCGGCCUGCUGGGCUCUAACUGACGCUGAGGCACGAAAGCGUGGGUAGCAAACAGGAUUAGAUACCCUGGUAGUCCACGCUGUAAACGAUGAUUACUAGGUGUGGGUGGACUGACCCCAUCCGUGCCGGAG
rnacentral:rRNA from 1 species